rnacentral:lncRNA from 1 species
GAAAGCUGCCCUGUGAGAUUUCUAAAGCUCCUUCAUCGAAUCCUUCCCCCUUUUGUCAACGGGCUUAACAACAUUACCCAUAUAGUCUGCCCACUGAUUGAAAUAGGUGAUGUACUUUUCAUCACUUCUUUUCAAAUGUGUUAAAUUCAGAGGGCGAUGGCCAGACGAGAGAUCACACAGCAUCCUUUUGGCACUUGGAUCUUACUUCUGCUGAUUCUUUCAGUGGCUUUCCUGAGCUCUAAGCUGAAGGCAGUUUGUAUUCUCCAGGGGAAGCUGGUGCUGCCCGACAGUUGUGAAGUCCUGCAACCAUCAGCAUCCCUGGGGCCACCUUAGCUCUGCAGAGAAAUGACAAGGAUUGCAGGAGGCAGCCUGGAAAUCCCAGACGCAGCAGAAACUGACCAUCCCCCCUUUCUACUCUGCAUCCUGUGGGCGAGCAUCCAGAGCUAAGCAAGCCAGGUCCUCCCCCUGGCGUCCAUCUGCACAGGUUUCCAGGACACCUGAUUGCUCUAAACCUUCAUAAAGGACUUUAAUUGCUACCAAUAAAUACUUCUGAAUGUGGGUUCCCAGACUGGCAGCGUAGUUUGAGAAGUAGGCAAAAAAAAUUCUUUAUCUUUCCUGACCUGAAUUUGUCCCUUCUUAUUACCUUAAAAAUUGUUAUAGCUUUAUUUCCAGCAUGCCCAUAGCUCUAUUUUUAAAUGAUCCGAUCUAAAUUCUAUUGCCUAUGGGAAGAAGUUCUUCAUGUAUUUGUUAAGUGAAGAACUUAAUUUAAAAGUUUUAUUGUCCAGGGGCUGGCCCCGUGGCCGAGUGGUUAAGUUCACGCGCUCCGCUGCAGGCGGCCCAGUGUUUCGUUAGUUCGAAUCCUGGGCGCGGACAUGGCACUGCUCAUCAGACCACGCUGAGGCAGCGUCCCACAUGCCACAACUAGAAGGACCCACAACGAAG